CCCUGCCCUCUGGCAUGGGAAGCCAUUCCCCUCAUCCUGUCUGUGCCUCGGACAAUGAACACUCGGUCCUUUAAUGCACUUUCCCCUGCCAGCUCUGUGAGGCUGCCCUGAAUCCCAUAGGAAAGGUUUCACUCCUGAUCUCUAGCACUUUCCAAGCUCAGAUAUCACCCCUUUCACUUGAGGGGCCCUCAGGCCCUCUUCUCCUCGACCCUGUUACCCACACGCCUUCUACACCGAGUUUCUUUGGCUUUUGUUACAUUCCAAAACCGAGCCACAAUCCCAGUUAAGACUGCUUCCUGAGCAGCCUGAAGCCACCCGCUUGCCCUCGGCGAGAUCCGCCGCGUAGGCACCACGGGGGCAUAGAAUGGCACAGAACCGUCGCGGGUGGCAGCACAGCCGCCAUAAAUCCGGACGGGGCCGUGAGGGGCCGCCAUGACACCCCUUCCUCCGGCUGACCGCGCGCGCUGCCCGCACCAAUCAGUAUCGAGGGCGGGAGCAGCGCGUACUAAUCAGCGCUGAGGGCAGGAGCAGCGCGCACCAAUCAGCGCUGAGGGCGGAGUAGCGCGCUCCAAUCAGCGCCGAGGGCGGGAGCAGCGCUCACCAAUCAGCGCUGUGUGUGCCCCGGUUCCCGGUACCCCGCAGUUCCGGUCCUCCCGCUGCUCUCACGGCCCCGCUCCCCUCCCGGCCCUGCCCGGAGCGUUGUUGGGGCGCUGUUUGUCACCUUCUGAGGGUCCCCGCGGCUUCUCGGUGCUGCUCUGCGGCCUUUUGGAGCCUUUUUCAGCACCGCUACCGCAUUAAAAGUCGAUUUAAUGAACCCUUAAGGGCCUGUAAAUUGCUUGUUUUCUGGUGGCUGCUUCCCCACAGCUGGAUUGGAGCAUGGAGCCCAUCUCCCUGCCAGAGCCAGGCAUUCCUGCAGGAAACAGCUCAUCUGUGGCACAGGAAAAGUUCCACGUGCUGCUGGGAGUGACUGGAAGCGUGGCUGCCCUCAAGCUGCCCCUGCUGGUGGCAGAAUUGCUGAAAAUCCCUGCGCUCGAGGUGAAGGUGGUCACUACUGAGAGAGCAAAACAUUUCUACAAUGCCCAGGAGAUUCCUGUGGCCCUCUAUGGUGAUGAAGAGGAGUGGCAGCUGUGGAAGGGCCGCUCGGACCCCGUCCUGCACAUCGAGCUCCGGCGCUGGGCUGACCUCAUGGUGGUGGCACCUCUGGAUGCCAACACGCUGGCAAAGGUCGCCAAUGGCAUCUGUGACAACCUGCUGGCACUGAAAAUUGCUGCGUGGGAAGAGAGGUGUCUGAAGGUGAUGAAUGGCUUUGCUAUGUUUGCCAAGGAGAUGUUUUCCUUUGAUGGGCACCAAAACACCUGGGCUUGCCCUUCCUGGAUGGAAGAGUGAAAUUCCCUAAAACAGCCCACAAAUACAGGCCAAAUCAGUAGUUUCAGGAGAAAAAGAGGAAGGCUGGAGGUGCUAUUACAGUGGAGGGGAGAAGCCAGGCUCAGCAGUCUGAGCUGGUUCUUCAAGGCAUUCCUGCCCCAGCAGCAUCCCGUGGUGAGAAGUUCCCUGGAUGAGCAUGCAGCCUUAGCUCACCUCUGCCAGGGCAGGGACCUGGCACUGGAGCAUCAGCAGUAAUUUUCCACGCUGUGGAAAUACACCCAGGCAUGGAAAAAGCCUAGAAGGGAAUAAAGAAGACACUUGGCCAGUAGAGCUUGGCCAGUUCCCAGCUCAAGGAACAGCUUCAGGUUCACCCCCAGCUCUCCAGUGCUUGGCAGGCUUGGCUGUCUCGGCUCCUACAAACGGGACAGGCCAGCAACAUUCCUGCCAAAAGCCUGGGUGCUCCUGCUCCAACAGCUCCCUGCACCCAGGGGUUAGCUGCAAGACAAAAAGGGGGGAAAGUGGCCUUUUUGUGGGGUUUGCUUGGGAUUUUUUCCUUCUCACCGCAGAGAAAAGGAGAAGGAAAUACUUGGCACGAAGGGCGGAGCGAGGGGGAGCUUGGGGACAGCGGGGAUGUGGCAGUGGGAGGCGAGCGGGCCCUUUAUGAGGCUCUAAUUACUGCAGCCAAAACCCACAUUAGCCUGAUGAGUGAAAAGAGGUUUUUACGAGGGCAAUAAGAUGUCCCAGCCUGCCGGGGCGGUGAUUGCCAGCCCGUGGCCUCGGGCUCUCUGUGGUGCUCCUGCUGCAAUCCGACUCCAGCUCGGCAAGAGGGUCCGGCCGAGGUUUCCCAACCUCGCGGUGCUAAUCCCUUUUACCUCAGUGGUGCAGCAAUAACCCCCGGAGCCAGCAGCACCUCCCACUGCCGGCGGCUGCAGAGCACACCGUGUUCCCAGCCAGGGCUCCUCACACCCUGCACAGCCCCGGCAAACAAAGGCGGCUUCCCAAGUCCCACCAGCAUCCUUCCCCCAGCAGCUCUCCUUGGAAAACGCCCUCGAAGAGUCACUGUCCCCAGCCCACUUCCUUGAAAACUCAGGUUGCUGUGAAAAUGGUGGUGAAACAGGCUGGGAAGGGGGCACCAAGGGCAGAGUGACCGAGGUCUGUGAUAUCCUCAUGAGUCCAGGGAAGAUAAAUCAUGAGAGGAUGAUGACUCACUGCCUCUUGUGCAAAACCCAGCACCAUCAAUGCAUCCAGCAUGUCCAAAGAUGUUUCUCCCAAUGCAUCCAGCAUGUCCAAAGAUGUUUCUCCAUAGGAUUUCUCCUGACAGGAGAGGAUGAGAGUGGCUUCAAAAAGCAAUUCCUGGACGAGGAAACCACCCAGGACACCAAGACCACUCACUCUGCUGGAUGUAGAAGCUCGCUGAGGUCUGAUGUUUUUGUGGGAUCUUCUGCUUCAGCCCGUGGUUGUGGAGGAAGGAAACCCAUCAGCAAGGGUUGCUCCCACAUCCAAGGGACAGGGAGUUCCUGGGGACAGGCUGGCCAAGAGUUGGCCAAGCUGCAGGGUCAGGAGGGGGUUAUUUGGUAGAGGUAGUUAUGAAGGAAACAAGAUAUCUCCUUUCCCAAGGUGCCUGAAGGGAGCUGAAGACACCAGGAUUUAGCCCCUGGGAAGAAUGAGUCAGUCACAGGGGUGACCACAAGGAUCUGUUAUCACAAGGAUCUGUUAUCGGUGGAAAAUCUGUCUCAUGAGGGCAUCAAAGCAGCUCCUUGUGUGCCAGAAGGAAGGGGGAAGGGGAGGAAAAGAGGACAAAGAUCCUCAAUGCCAGGCAAGGAGAGUUCUGUGUCCCCCAGCCUCUUUGGGAUGAUGCAGGAGGGGGUUCAAAGCUCUGUGUCCUUCCAUCUGAGAGCUUCUUCAGCCCAGGGGCUGGGGCAGCUGUGAGGGGAAGGUCUCACCCUGACAGCACCAGGGAGCCAGAGCUGGGCCCAGCGUGUGUUACUCACCUUGAAACUAUGUGAGUAAACAGAGAAGGCUCCUCUUCCUGGUCCCACCUGCAAUUAGGCUGCAGACUGGAGCAGAGGAUCCUGAUUCCACCCUGGCAGGUCAUGGGGAUGCUCUGCUCUCUCCUCUGCUGAAUCCUCAGACCAAGCCACCCAGGAGAGGAGGAUGGUGAAGCUCCAGUUGGCCUCCUGGACCGUCCCCUCCUAUAUAGAGCUUCUUGCAGAUGUCCCACCAGGAGGAAAACACCCCUUUCCCAUCACUUCUGGUGUUUUUACAUGGGAAUAAAUCACGUGGGACUCGAUUUUCUUCAUGGUGGAAAAAGCCCAUUCUUUAUUCACAUCACUCCUUUUUGUACAGUUUUACACACCUCGUGUGUGACUCCAGUGGGUUAGUAGCUUUCUUGUCAAUUAUUGGUUAGUAACAAGUUGUUAUUCUGUAUUGAUUAGUCACUCAAACCCCCGGGGUGUAUGUGCAGGAAAGCUGUUAGUGAGAGAUACUUUUCAUUUUUCUACCUAAUGGUGUAAAAACAGUUUAUACAGGUGCCAGUUGUUUUUCAGCCAGGAAUAAUUGUUGUGCUAACAAACUGCUCACAACAGGAUUGCUUUCACAUGGGAACUUGGAAAGUGCCUUAGAAGAAAUGACAGGCUAGCCAGAGCAGGCCUGAUUUCAUGAAGCCUUUCUUUAUUAUUUUUCUACCUUACUGCAACAUUUUUAUAACCUGUAUCACCAUUUUUUGUUGCUGAGCAACACUCAUGGCUCCCUGUGACAUGGGGGAAGUGGAGCCAACUGGGAAGAACCCAGUUGAGAGACUCAGCACCAGCUGGGAGGAAGAAGAGAUGAUCCCACAGGAAAGGGACAUCCCUGCUGGCACAGCAAAAGCCUCUGAGCUCCAGGGAUUUGGUGGCUACCACUGCAAUCAUGAGUCCCACUGGAUCCUGACACCUUCCGCUUUGGUCCUUGGGUCUUCUCUGUGGAAAACCUUCAUCCAUCUUGGUGUGUUCUUCCCCACCAGUGCCUAGAGGAAGAGGAGAGACCACCCUGGACCAUCCCUAAAGGGAAGAGAGCAGCCUGAGAGCAGCAUUGAGCCAGCCCAGGGCCAGGGACUCUUGCAGAAGGGUUUCCAGGAUUGACAGUGGUUUCUGCAGGCAGGAGAGGGAAUAAAAUGGUCAAAUUGCUCACAAUUCCAUGCCUGUCCUCCCACACAGGGUAAAGGAAUGCGGGAGAUACCGCAGCAAUGCCAUGCAAACACCCUGGAGAGGUGAACCUCCUCCUGACCCCAGCUAGGAGAGAACAAAAACUGUUUUAAAGACUUUUGGAGCAUCUUGAUGGAUCUGUGGGAGGCUUGUGGGCACUGGAUGUGUGGGAAGCAGCUGAUGGGUCGAUAGCCUGCAGGAACACCAAACACAUGGGCACCAGAGAUAACUGCUGGAGACAGAGUCCAGAGAUGUUACAGAGACGUGCAGCCAUUCCCACACUGGGAAUCAUGCAGAAAUAAAUUAAUUAAUCAUUCCAGAGCUUUAGGUACAGGCAGCAGCAUCUGUGCUGGCACAGACACAGGGAUUCUCUUUGGGAAUAAGGCCACAGAUGGGAAGAGAAGGGGAAGAAGGUGCAUGAGUUGCUGAGGUCAGACUGGGUGACCUCAACCAGAGCAGAAACAAAGGGAGGGAAAAAAAAAAAGGGUAAGAAAUGGCAGCUUCCUCAGGCUGAUCCCUUGCAAGACUUACUCAGAGUUACAUCAUGGUGCUUAUUAGGAUGCAGAUCCCUGAGAGCCAGGGCUCCAGAGCCUCUGGAAGGAUCCCUGGGGAUGUGGGGAUCCCUGCCAGCAGCCAGGGCAGUAGGGAUGGCACCCCAAUCCCGGCUGUGCCACUGAGGCCAGCUCCCCAAACACGGACACUGCUGCUGUCCCCACAGAGGGACUGGGCUUCAUUUGGGAGCCCAGGGAGGUGAGGGGUGUUUGGGCACGGGGCUGCCUCCUCCCGCUGUUGUGUGACAGGGACUGCACAGCUGCUGCUGCCCAGAGCUUCCCUGAGUUGGCUGUCACCACACCCAAGGCUUUCCCAAGGCCACAGGGCUAUUCCUCAGCACACAGCACUGAGCACGGUGUUUCCCUGCCCUGGCUGCUCUCCUCCUCUGAACCAGGAGUGCUGGGGUGUCCCUGGAGGUGGCCAGGGAACAAACCCAGAUGGGGGGCUGCUUCCCCCUGGAAGGGCAGGGUGUGGAGGUGGGGCUCACAGGGGAAUCCCAGCCCAGGAAUCUCCGCUCCUGGGUGUGAGAUUCCCGCUGAAGG